AGGUGUUGUUGUACCGGUGGGUUGCUCUUGAUGGUGAUGCAUGCCAGAGUUGAUCUAUUCAUGAGAUUCUCUAUGGAAGAAUAGAUAAAUCAUGCUCGAGGACACCAGGACACCAGCACGUACAGGUAUACGCAUACUUUGUUUCUUUCUUAGUACCAGGAUUAGGGGUAGUGGCCAUGCCUAAG